rnacentral:rRNA from 1 species
AUUGAACGCUGGCGGAAUGCUUUACACAUGCAAGUCGAACGGCAGCACGGGGGCGAACCCUCGGUGGCGAGUGGCGAACGGGUGAGUAAUACAUCGGAACGUGCCCACGUCGUGGGGGAGUAACUACGCGAAAGCGUAGCUAAUACCGCAUACGAUCUACGGAUGAAAGGACGGGGGAGUCGCAAGACCUCGCGCGAUUGGAGCGGCCGAUGGCAGAUUAGGUAGUUGGUGAGGAAAGGCUCACCAAGCCUGCGAUCUGUAGCUGGUCUGA